rnacentral:sRNA from 1 species
ACACGUAAUCCUACCUUCGAGUCUAGC